GAUGAACGCUAGCGAUAGGCUUAACACAUGCAAGUCGAGGGGUAACGUGUUGGAAGCUUGCUUCCGAUGACGACGACCGGCGGAUGGGUGCGUAACGCGUAUGCAACUUGCCUCACAGUGGAGAAUAACCCGGAGAAAUCCGGACUAAUACUCCAUACACUCUUAAGUACGCCUGUACAUGAGAGGAAAGAUUUAUCGCUGUGAGAUAGGCAUGCGUCCUAUUAGGUAGUUGGUGAGGUAACGGCUCACCAAGCCGACGAUAGGUAGGGGUGCUGAGAGGCAGAUCCCCCACAUUGGGACUGAGACACGGCCCAACCUCCUACGGGAGGCAGCAGUGAGGAAUAUUGGUCAAUGGAGGAAACUCUGAACCAGCCAAGUCGCGUGAAGGAAGAAUGUCCUAAGGAGUGUAAACUUCUUUAGCGAGCGAGUAAGGACUUCCACGUGAUGGGAGUUUGAAAGUAGCUCGAGAAUAAGUAUCGGCUAACUCCGUG
rnacentral:rRNA from 1 species